rnacentral:rRNA from 1 species
UACGUAGGGCGCAAGCGUUGUCCGGAAUUAUUGGGCGUAAAGAGCUCGUAGGCGGUCUGUCGCGUCGGAUGUGAAAGCCCGGGGCUUAACCCCGGGUCUGCAUUCGGUACGGGCAGACUAGAGUGUGGUAGGGGAGAUCGGAAUUCCUGGUGUAGCGGUGGAAUGCGCAGAUAUCAGGAGGAACACCGAUGGCGAAGGCAGAUCUCUGGGCCGUAACUGACGCUGAGGAGCGAAAGCAUGGGGAGCGAACAGG